AGACCUCAGGUCAGGCGGGGCUACCCGCUGAGUUUAAGCAUAUCAAUAAGCGGAGGAAAAGAAACUAACAAGGAUUCCCCUAGUAACGGCGAGCGAACCGGGAAAAGCCCACCAUGAAAAUCGGUCGCCCUCGGCGUCCGAAUUGUAGUCUGGAGAAGCGUCCUCAGUGGCGGACCGGGCCCAAGUCCC
rnacentral:rRNA from 1 species